UAUCCUGUUCGGUGUAACGAUGUUGCGGAAAUAUUGGUCUCAUAGCAAUGUUUAAUUGUUUCCACGCUACCAACACAGUUAGCGGUCUUAGUUUAUCAAUUGCAGUUAAUCGAUGCGACAUUUUAUAUCGCUUGAGAAUAGAGAGUUUUCCCUUGUCAAUAGAUGGAUGAGAGACUAGAGAUCCAUUAGAAACGAUUGAAGCAUCAGAUAUCGUCUUCCUUCUUUUUUUUUUAGACUUUACCGAAUCUAAGUUAGAUGUAGUGGUUCGAUUUUCAUCAUUGUGAAACAAAAAAAAACAAGGGCAUUGAACUUUGAUAGUCGUUAACCCUAAAUAAAUUU